GCUCUCCCAACUUGGGGAAACCUUAGCCCUACAGGAGAAAUAAACUUGAAACCAACCAGAAAACUUUGCACUGAGAAUUGGUAGGGGCCGCGCGAACGCAGGCCCCCUCUGCCACAAAUUAUGACGUAGGCUCUCCCAACUUGGGGAGACCUUAGCCCAGCACCCCUCCUAAGUGCAAUGGAGGUCACUGACCUAGGACAUGGGCUUUCCUGAUCGCCCAUUGACCCCGUCCAGACGGAAUUCAUUUCAAUUCACCCUUCUGAACACCUUCAAAUUGCCCGUUGAUUCAUCCCCAGGCUGUAAAGUUUCUCAAUUUGAACCUUUACGGCAGCAAAAAUAUUCAGGUUGAACAAGGUUCAAAGGUAGAGCUUCCUUUCCGGCUUGCUCAUGACCUGCACUUGAGGCAAGCUGUGUCCGUGGUCCUAAAGAUCUGGAUGCCAUUGUUCUGUUUCAUAUAAAAGAGCGAGUGGAAGGGUGAAGCAGCACUUGAUAGUUUGGAUACAUUUCUAAUGAGGUGAUUUGAUUGAGACCUAAAUAGGCUUCAUUUUAAGGAGACUAGGAAGCUUUGGGUUUACUAGAAGACAUGUAGACUGAAAGAUUUUCUCUUGUCCAUCUCUUAGGCACCUACACGUGCUUUUUUUUAUCUUUCAUGGCAUCCUUGAUUAAUGCUUUAUGUUCAGCUCUUAUUUCAUACUGUAAAUUUUGAUGUAUAACCUUGUAUGAACUUUACCAAGAAGAAUAUGACUUGUUUAUUCUUAUAUAUUUGAAAAUUAAUGCGUCUCUGACACCGUACACAUCAUUUUUCUGAGCUGUUCUUAGUUGAUGAGGAGAGAGUUUGAUCAUGCACAAGGUUAGUUGAUUCAUAUUUUUUAAUAAUUAUAGUAUAAUUAUUAAAAAAUAUAUUUGAAUAAAAGAACUAUGAUCAACCCCGAAUUAGGUAGCAUUGGAGAUAAUAAGUUGUAAUAUCUAUGUCUUGAUUUACCCUUUAACUUCCUUUCCGGCUUACUCAUGACCUGCACUUGAGGCAAGCUGUGUCCAUGGUCCUAAUGGAUGUCAUUGUUCUGUUUCAUGUUAAAGAGUGCCUUUCUAAUGACGUGAUUUGAUUGAGACUGAAAUAAGCUUCAUUUUAAGGAGAGUAUGACAAGACAUGUAGACUGAGAGAUUUUCUCUUGUCCAGUUCUUAGGUACCUACAAGUAAUUUUAUCUUUCGUGGCAUCCUUGACUGAUGCUUUCUGUUCAUGUCUUAUUUCAUCCUGUAAAUUUUUAUGUAUGACCUUGUACAAACUUUACGAAGAAGAAUGUGUGGUGUUGAUUCUUAUACAUUUAAAAAUUAAAGCCUCUCUGACAGUGAAACCACACACAUCAUUUUUCUGAGCAGUUCUCAGUGAUGAGGAGACAGUUUGAUCAAGCACAAGGUUAUUUGAUUCAUAUCUCCAUGUCAUCGCUUUCAUUUGUUUUUUCUAUUUUUGGGGCCACUAAAAAUCCUGAAUCAUUUGAUUUUCUUAAAUCAGUGAAAUUUUUAGUGAGGUAGAAUGAGCAAAUGAAUUAUGCCA